rnacentral:rRNA from 1 species
CGGAUUUACUGGGUGUAAAGGGUGCGUAGGCGGCUUUGCAAGUCAGAUGUGAAAUCUAUGGGCUCAACCCAUAGCCUGCAUUUGAAACUGCAGAGCUUGAGUGAAGUAGAGGCAGGCGGAAUUCCCCGUGUAGCGGUGAAAUGCGUAGAGAUGGGGAGGAACACCAGUGGCGAAGGCGGCCUGCUGGGCUUUAACUGACGCUGAGGCACGAAAGCGUGGGUAGCAAACAGGAUUAGAUACCCUGGUAGUCCACGCUGUAAACGAUGAUUACUAGGUGUGGGGGG